UACAGAGGAUGCAAGCGUUAUCCGGAUUUAUUGGGUUUAAAGGGUGCGUAGGCGGACUUAUAAGUCAGUGGUGAAAUCUCGUUGCUUAACAACGAACGUGCCAUUGAUACUGUAGGUCUUGAGUACAGAUGCCGUUGGCGGAAUGUGUCAUGUAGCGGUGAAAUGCAUAGAUAUGACACAGAACACCGAUUGCGAAGGCAGCUGACGAAACUGUAACUGACGCUGAGGCACGAAAGCGUGGGGAUCAAACAGG
rnacentral:rRNA from 1 species